CGUAGGUGCGAGCGUUGUCCGGAUUAUUGGGCGUAAAGAGCUCGUAGGCGGUUGUCGCGUCGGCCGUGAAACCUACAGCUUAACUGUGGGCUUGCGGUCGAUACGGGCAGACUUGAGUUCGGCAGGGGAGACUGGAAUUCCUGGUGUAGCGGUGAAAUGCGCAGAUAUCAGGAGGAACACCGGUGGCGAAGGCGGGUCUCUGGGCCGAUACUGACGCUGAGGAGCGAAAGCGUGGGAGCGAACAGGAUU
rnacentral:rRNA from 1 species